GGCAAGAUGGCCGAGCGGUCUAAGGCGCCGGAUUCAAGUCCCGGUCACGAAAGUGGCGCGAGUUCGAAUCUCGCUCUUGUCA
rnacentral:tRNA from 1 species